rnacentral:rRNA from 1 species
GAUGAACGCUGGCGGCGUGCCUAAUACAUGCAAGUCGAGCGAACAGAUAAGGAGCUUGCUCCUUUGACGUUAGCGGCGGACGGGUGAGUAACACGUGGAUAACCUCCCUAUAAGACUGGGAUCACUUCGGGAAACCGGAGCUAAUACCGGAUACCAUCUUGAACCGCAUGGUUCAAUGGUGAAAGGCGGCUUUGCUGUCACUUGUAGAUGGAUCCGCGCCGUAUUAGCUAGUUGGUAAGGUAACGGCUUACCAAGGCAACGAUCCGUAGCCGACCUGAGAGGGUGAUCGGCGACACUGGAACGGAGACACGGUCCAGACUCCUACGGGAGGCAGCAGUAGGGAAUCGUCCGCAAUGGGCGAAAGCCUGACGGAGCAACGCCGCGUGAGUGAGGAAGGUCUUCGGAUCGUAAAACUCUGUUAUCAGGGAAGAACAAAUGUGUAAGUAACUGUGCACAUCUUGACGGUACCUGAUCAGAAAGCCACGGCUAACUACGUG